rnacentral:rRNA from 1 species
GGAAUUUUCCGCAAUGGGCGAGAGCCUGAACCAGCCAUGCCGCGUGUAGGAUGACGGCCUUCUGGGUUGUAAACUACUUUUCUACAGGAAGAAAAAGGCUAUGCGUAGCCAAUUGACGGUACUGUAGGAAUAAGCACCGGCUAACUCCGUGCCAGCAGCCGCGGUAAUACGGAGGGUGCAAGCGUUGUCCGGAUUUAUUGGGUUUAAAGGGUGCGUAGGCGGCCAAUUAAGUCAGUGGUGAAAUCCUUCCGCUUAACGGGAGAACUGCCAUUGAAACUGGUUGGCUUGAGUACGGUUGAAGUAGGCGGAAUUUAUGGUGUAGCGGUGAAAUGCAUAGAUACCAUAAAGAACACCGAUAGCGUAGGCAGCUUACUAAGCCGUAACUGACGCUGAGGCACGAAAGCAUGGGGAGCGAACAGG